rnacentral:lncRNA from 1 species
CAUAUUAUUUUUUUUUGGAUCAUCUACUAUUUUAAUUUUUUUUUUAUAAAGACGAAAAAACUCAAAACGUAAAUAGCCAUGGGUCUAAGAAAUCGACCCUACAUAUUUUUUCUUGAAAAUUAGCGGAAAAAAAGAGGAGGAAAGUGUGGGAAAAAAGUAAGCCUAUGUCCAUAAUUGCCCUCAAAGGAUGCAGCAAAACAAAAGGGCAUGUAACAAAACUAGGGUCACGGCGGGAAACGACCGGCGACCGCAGCGGGAGCAACGGCGGGCAACAGUGACGAUGACAACCAGCUCUGGUGCUGGGUCUCCAAAAUACUCUCGGCCAUGGAGAGAGAGACUGAGAGAGAGGUGUGAAACUAUGGAGAGAGAGAGGAGGGCUGUCGAUUUGGGGAUCUCUCUCUUUGGCUCUGCGUGAGGGUGGGUGGGUGUGGGGCUGUGG